AAUGAUUAUGGGCAUGAGUAAAUAGUUUUAAAAUGUUCAAAUAACUAAUAGUUCAUGUACAGUUUUUAUAAAGUUCAUAAGUGAGUUGUGUUAAAACAAUAGUGGACCAAAUCAUUUUGUUUGUUAAUAAAGUAGUAUGUCACUUUAAUUAGUUUCACUGCACUUUCACGCAUUUUGUGUUGUGUACAACCUAUCCUCACUGAGCAUCAGAAUGUCAGUCUUGACUUGUGUUUAUUUGUAUUGGUUGUUUGUGACCUAUGUAACCAAUCAAGGGAUUGUGGGGGCGGGAUGUGAGGUUGACCUAGUAGAGGGCAGGUGCGCGAGAGGUACAGAGAUGCCACAGACGUACAUCAAACGUGUGUGUUGACCGCUGAUCGUAUCGGAGUAUAAGUGCCUUUCAUCGUGGUGAAUGCAGAGUUUGCCAUUCUGUGUUAAGGACUUUGAAACAUCCGAAGGUAAAUAUUCCUUUGAAAGUUGUAUUGAACUGUUUCUGUCAGAUGCAGUAUGUUAAAAUGGAGAUGCUAAUCGCGGAUAGCAUAUUAGCUUGCUAGCCGUGUCGCACAUGUAUAAUAUAGUAGCUGUCAAAGUUGCUAAGUUGUUAAUGUGUGCCGAUGCUGUUAGUAGUUUAAAUGAGAGCGAUUAUAAAGCAAGACUAAGAUAUUUUAUAUGCUCGCUAACGUGUAGGACCAGGAGACUAUCCUUGGACUUUUUUUUCCCCCUUGCUACGUGACGGAGCAUAGAAGUAUCCAGGAGUCGCCAUCUUGCUUGGAUUUUGUGUCGGAGACCGAAGCCGUUGCCGGACGCCCUCGUUGCCCUCACGAAUGAUUCCCUAAAGGUUACCAGCGACUAACAUUAACCAGGUUGCUGACUGACUGACUGCUCGAGGUUGUGAGUACUCAAAUUGCACGUGCUUAUUAUUUUAUUGUUUUGUUCUGCUUGCUUUGCAAGCGAAAGGGUCAUAAAGUUUCUGACCACACCGCACCCCAGCGUCGACACAGGCCUGCACCGUUUGUUUUAUUUUAUUUUAAAGGACUGAUAUUGAGUUGCAGCUUGAGUGUGUGAGUGUGUGUGUGAGCUGCAGGACUAUUGUUUUCACAAGUAAUUUGAUUUAUUUACAGGUGUUUUGAAGAGACCCUAAUUGAAGUAAUUAUUUUGUACUCUUAUUGUGUUUAUUUGAAGUUGCAAAUAUUAAUUUUGAUUACUAAAUUCUAUAUUUUUGAGGUUAAGAAUCCUGUGUGUGUUAUUUCUUUCGUGUAAGGAUUUUCCCCUGUUUAUUAAAUUUGAACCAGAGAAACGUGUUUCAACACUGGAUGAUAACAAUUCUUAGUAGGAUUAAAGGCCAAAGGGUUGUAUUCUGCUAAGUGGAGGCACCAAUCACCAAAUUUCUUAUCAAUACAGGUUAGUACGGAAGCCAAUAAAUUAAAGAACCCAGGGCCCCGCCCAUAGUACUACAAUACCCCUGUCUUUAAAUGAUGUUUACCUAUUAGCUACAUGGGUCGGGUGCUACACAAAUUGGAGGCACCGCUGGGAUAUUUUCCCUAAUAAGGUAUAUAUUUUAAUGUCAAGUAGUUGAGACUCUUUCUCAUGGUCAAGCCUGCAAGCACAUAAGACAAAAUAAUGGCAAGUUUGAGUAAUUCCUCGCAGUUGGAGUUAAGUAACUGGUGUAGAGGGGAGGGUAUAGAGCUAACACAUGCCCUUAUGGUACUUGGAGUCCCCGAAGAUGACGACAUCUCUUGCAUUGAGGAAGCACUGGAAACCAUAAAAGCACUGGGAAAAGUAAGGGUAAGAGGAAAAAUGUUUGACGCCAAACACCAGGCAUUAAGCGUGCUUUGCGAAUGUCGUGAGCCAAUCGAUCCCUCUAGAGUCCCAUGUGAAGUCUUCUUGCCUGCCAGGGGGCAUGGCUGGAAGAUAGUGGUAGCUCAGCGCAAAGAGAGCAGUGCAGAUGAGUUCUCAGAGAAACUAGCACAGUUCCUCCAAGAACAAGGAAAAACAAUGGAAGACAUUUAUCCAAUGUGUGGUUCCGCCACAGAAGUGAAUAGCACUCCAGAGUCUAUUAUUCGCGCUGUAGGGGAAGUGUUGCAUAAAACCACAAAACCCACUGAAAGCAACAACUAUAGACGUUUAAGGACUUUUUCUGGAAUCAGCCCUGUCCCACUAGGUGAGGAGUGUUUGGAUAACUGGCUUGAACAGGCCAAGCUUAUGGUAGAAGAGUAUGAGUGUUCAGAAAAAGAGAAAAGACGCAGGAUAGUUGAGAGUCUUAAAGGUCCGGCUUUGGAGAUCCUUCAGGCUGUACGCUUGUCGAAUCCUGAUGCUAGUCAUUUGGAGUACAUAGAAGCAAUAGAAAGUACUUUUGGAACCUCAGAGUCAGGAGAAGACCUUUAUUUGUCUUUCAGGUCUCUUCGCCAGGAGUCUGGUGAGCCCUUGUCAGAGUUUUUGCGCAGACUUGAAAGAUCCCUCUGUAAAGUAAUUAAGAGAGGUGGUCUCCCAGUUAGCGCCGCCAACAAAGCUAGGCUUGAGCAGCUUAUAAAAGGAGCAACUGAGUCUGAUCUCAUGUUGCUUAAGUUGAACUUGCGAGAGAGGAGGCAUGAUCCUCCUGCUUUCCUAACCUUGCUCAAAGAAAUUCGUGCGGAGGAAGAACGUGAAGCCGCCAGGCACAGUCUCAGCAAACCUGUGCACCACCAGCGUGUGCAUGCAGUGCAGGUGGAAAAGGAAAACGAGUUGGCAAAUAGUCAGCAACUUGAACUUCGAGCUGAGAUUGAAGAAUUAAAAUCCGCCCUGAGUGAGCAAGUGAACAAAUUGUCUAAAUCAGAAAAUGAUAAAACUACAAAAAAGUCCAAGGAUAAGAAGAAAGUAAGAGCUGAGUCAAACCCCGAAAUACAGUCUUUAAAGAAAGAACUGAAAGCUCUAAAGGAACAGAUAAGUGUGAUGACUGUGAAAACCAAAUCAGGCUCAACCGCAACAGCGAACUAUUCUAGCCACAAAACAGCUGCAAAUCCACAGUGUGCUACUUCUAGAAGCCAGUUUGUAGCAGAGUCUUCUGAAUAUUUCUGCUAUAGAUGUGGUGAAAAUGGGCACAUUGCAUCAAAAUGCACAGCUCCAGCAAAUACACAGAAGGUCAUAAAAAAGCUCAUUCGCCAAGUGCGCGGAGCAACUUGUGGACCAAAAGAAUCCAGCAAAGGUUCCGAUGAAUCUAUUGCUAGAGUCAAUAAAGUCCAUAUUCCAGAGACAGACACUAACUUACCUGAAGGUCUGGUAGGUCCAUCAUCUGUGGUAAAAAUAAAAGUUAAUGAACUUCCUUGUGAUGCCCUCAUGGAUUCUGGUUCCACUGUAACCAUUAUCUUUGAAGAGUGGUACAAGAAACAUCUGUCACAUGUCCCUAUUCGUCCUAUUUCUCAUCUAGCUAUAUGGGGUCUCGCUGAUUCAGAGUACCCUUACAGAGGUUAUGUGGUAGUGGACAUGGAGUUCCCAGAGGACUUGGCAGGAGUAAAAGGGCCAAUCACUGUUCUUGCUCUUGUGUGUCCCGAGCCACAACAUUGCAGCCAAGUGCCUGUCAUUGUAGGCACUAAUGCCUUUCUCUUCCGCAGACUGUGGGAGCUUUCAAAAGAAAGUGGCAGUCAGAACAAAGUACACUCUUUGAGAAUACAAGCAGUCUAUGAAAAGCUACAGACACAAACCCUGAACCCCCAGUCAAAAGCUAUUGAUGAGGCAGUUGGGCAAGUGAAAUGGCAAGGCCCAGGCCUACUGUCUAUAGCUCCUGGUGAGAAGUGUUAUGCCACCUGUAAAGUGGAGAAACCGACUUUCUCUUCUCAAGACAUUAUUCUUGUUGAAGCUCCUGUGACGCAGCAUCUUCCGGCUGGUGUAUUUGUACAGCCCGGAGUGCUCCCUAACAGAGACAUUGACUCCAAUAGUUUCACUGUCCUUUUGCACAAUGAAUCACAAAAACCCACGUCUAUUCAGGUUGGCACUGUCAUUGCAGAAAUGUAUGCAGUAGAUACUGUAGCCUUACCUCAGCCUUCCAACUCAACCACUGACCUCCUUGACCCCGAGCUCUUUGAUUUUGGAGACUCACCAGUUCCUGAGGAGUGGAAGAAACGGCUUAGCCGAAAACUUGCUGAGAGACGAAAUGCUUUCUCUCUCAAUGAAUGGGAUGUUGGUUUGGCACGAGGAGUUGAGCACCAAAUACGUGUCAGUGAUCCCACUCCUUUUAGAGAACGAUCACGUCGCUUAGCCCCAGCUGAUAUUGACGAUGUAAGGCGACACAUACAGCAGCUACUGGCUGCUGGCAUUCUGAAAGAGUCCCGAAGUCCUUAUGCCUCACCCAUUGUGGUAGUGCGCAAAAAGAAUGGAACCAUCAGGAUCUGCAUCGAUUAUCGGACCCUGAACAGUCGCACUAUACCGGAUCAGUACACAAUGCCGCGCAUUGAUGAUGCCUUGGAUUGCCUCACAGGCAGCCGAUGGUUCUCAGUACUGGAUCUUCGGAGUGGAUAUUAUCAGAUAGCCAUGGCUGAAGAGGAUAAGGAGAAGACCGCAUUCAUCUGUCCCCUCGGAUUUUAUCAAUUUGAGAGGAUGCCCCAGGGCAUCACUGGAGCCCCAGCCACUUUUCAGCGGCUUAUGGAGAAAGCCGUGGGUGAUAUGCACCUUCUCCAAGUCAUUGUCUAUCUUGAUGACAUUAUUGUCUUUGGAAAGACUCUUGAGGAGCAUGAACAACGAUUGCUGAAAGUUUUGGAUCGCUUGCAAGAGGUUGGCCUAAAAGUGUCAAUUGACAAAUGCCAGUUUUGUCAACCAAGUGUUAAAUAUGUGGGCCACAUUGUCUCAGAAUCUGGUAUUGCCACUGAUCCCGAGAAAGUGAACGUGGUAAAAGACUGGAAGGAACCCACUGAUCUCAAGUCUUUGAAGUCCUUCCUUGGUUUCUGUGGCUACUAUCGGAGAUUCAUUGCGAACUACUCCAGCAUUGUUCGCCCACUGACUGAACUUACAAAGGGCUACCCCCCAGCUCAGAAAGGGAGACAAGCACAAGCCCCAGGCACCUCUAAGGUGUAUUUCAAAGCAUCUGAACCUUUUGGCGAACGGUGGGACCAGUCCUGUCGAGAUGCAUUCAGAAAAAUCAUUGACUGUCUCAUAAAUGCUCCAGUGUUAGCAUUUGCAGACCCAAGUAAACCAUACAUACUGCAUGUUGACGCCAGUAUGAGUGGUUUAGGUGCAGUGCUAUAUCAGGAACACCCAGAAGGUCUACGGCCUGUAGCAUUUGCGAGCCGAAAACUUAGCCAUUCUGAACUGCGAUACCCUGUCCAUCAGCUAGAGUUUUUAGCGCUGAAGUGGGCAGUGGUAGAUAAAUUUCAUGACUAUUUGUAUGGAGCUAAGUUUACUGUAAGAACUGAUAAUAACCCCUUAACCUAUGUGCUGUCCUCAGCCCGGCUAAAUGCCACAGGACAUCGCUGGUUAGCUGCCCUUGCUACCUAUGACUUCAGCAUCCAGUACCGUCCUGGCCGUCAGAACACUGACGCUGACUUGCUCUCCCGACAGUACGCAACUGAAGAUGUCAGAAACUGGACAGACAUCCCACCAUCAGGCAUUAAAGCAAUCUGUAGGCGAGCUUGUGUUGUUGAAACACCCAGUGUCCCUACUAGAUUGGCUGACCAACUUGGUGUCCCACCGACGGUCAUCCCUGAUGUGUAUGCUUAUCCAACGCACUUGAGCUCAGAUGCCAUUGAUCAGCUAAGCCCAAGAGAGCUUAAGUCUGCACAAGAUUUGGAUCCUGUCAUCGGUCCAGUGAAAACAGCUCUUGAAGCUGGCAAGAUGCAUGUUCAAUCUCAGAAUGAUCCCCCCGAUGUUGCUUUGCUUAGCAGAGAAAUCUCUAAGUUGGAGCUAAAAGAUGGAGUUCUAUAUAGAACCAGACAAACACCAUCAGAUAGAGAGAUAAAUCAACUUGUUUUGCCACAGCGAUACCGAAGUGUAGUACUCAGGUCACUACAUGAUGAUUGUGGACAUUUGGGAAUAGACAAAACCUCUGAGCUGCUCAGAGACAGAUUCUAUUGGCCCCGCAUGAUCGCUGAAGUUGAACAAUAUAUAAAAACAUGUGGAAGAUGUGUCUCCAGGAAGACUCUUCCCCAGCAUUCAACUCCAUUGAAUCAGAUCACUAGCAAUGGUCCCUUAGAUUUAGUGUGCAUUGACUUUUUGCAAAUAGAACCCGACAGUAGAGGGGUUGCAAAUGUGUUAGUAGUGACAGACCAUUUCACGAGAUAUGCACAGGCGUUCCCUACAAAAAAUCAAAAAGCUACUACUGUUGCAAGAGUAUUGUGGGAAAAAUACUUUGUGCAUUAUGGUCUUCCCGCAAGAAUCCAUUCGGAUCAAGGCAGAGACUUUGAGAGUCGCUUGAUAAAGGAGCUUCUCUCUAUGCUUGGCAUACGAAAGUCUCGCACAUCCCCAUAUCACCCACAAGGUGAUGCUCAACCUGAACGAUUCAACAGAACACUCUUGUCCAUGCUUGGUACGCUGGACACAGCAAACAAAAGGAACUGGAGUCAAUACAUCAGUCAUCUAGUGCAUGCAUAUAAUUGCACAAAAAAUGAUGCCACAGGACAUUCUCCCUACUUUUUAAUGUUUGGACGUGAAGCAAGACUUCCAGUUGACAUUUGUUUUGGCACAGUUGUGGAUGGGACAAGUGAAGUGUCACAUCUUAAGUAUGUCAAACAGAUGAGACAAGAUCUGCAACAGGCUUACAAACUAGCAAUGGAAGCCGCAACCAAAAAUCACAUGAGAAACAAGUCUCGUUAUGAUCAACAUGUUCGAGAUCAACCAUUGGCAGAGGGUGACAGAGUGUUGUUAAGAAACCUUGGCCUGAAGGGGAAACACAAACUUCAAGAUCGUUGGAGAUCUACUCCCUAUGUGGUAGUGAAGAAGUUGCCCAAUCUACCUGUUUAUCAAGUGAAGCCAGAACAAGGCUCUGGAGUCAUUAAAACCCUCCAUAGAGAUCAUCUCUUGCCAAUUGGUUACCUGGUCAGAAUGCCACAUUCAGUGGAAAACGAGAAAAAAGUCACAAAACCAGCAGUCACAAGGCUGCAGAGUGUAAGGAAAACCCCCAAACAGUCUUCGUUGUCUGAGCAAGUAACCAGCGACUCUGCUUCAUCAGACUUGGAAUUUGAAGGUGUGCGUGAGUACUCAUCCUUGGAUAUGGAUGAGGUGAAACAACAGCUUUUGCACACCCACCAUCUGGAGAAACCAUACCCAAGUUCUGUUGAUGAGAGUUCACAGGUGUCAGACAGUGAGCAAAGUGAAACUGACCCAGUUAGACAAAGAGAGGAGUUGUCGGAUGACACUAGCUCUCAAGAAUCGGAAGAUGAAGAGUUGCAGUCCCAGCCUACAGAAACUGAGAUGACGCAGGAAUCUCCUUCUGUUUCGAAAAGAGCUGUGAAAUGCAAAGAGACACCAGUAGUUAGGAAAUCUCAGCGCGAAGUUAAGCCAGUCAUACGCUUGACUUAUGAUGAACCUGGACAUCCUACUGAGGAACCUGUAACCAUUGUGCAUCAUGGGAUGGUUAUUCAGUUGAACCUUGGUUCACAGGGCGAAGGUAUUAAUCCAUUCAGAGAGUCUACACCUUUCAAGAGAUCAUCAAAACAAGAAAGGAAACCCUUAACUACCUCAGGCAGAAGAGCCAGGGUUAGAUGAGGACAUCUACCUUUUUAGAAGAGGGAGGGUGUAGCCCAGUCCAUAAUGAUUAUGGGCAUGAGUAAAUAGUUUUAAAAUGUUCAAAUAACUAAUAGUUCAUGUACAGUUUUUAUAAAGUUCAUAAGUGAGUUGUGUUAAAACAAUAGUGGACCAAAUCAUUUUGUUUGUUAAUAAAGUAGUAUGUCACUUUAAUUAGUUUCACUGCACUUUCACGCAUUUUGUGUUGUGUACAACCUAUCCUCACUGAGCAUCAGAAUGUCAGUCUUGACUUGUGUUUAUUUGUAUUGGUUGUUUGUGACCUAUGUAACCAAUCAAGGGAUUGUGGGGGCGGGAUGUGAGGUUGACCUAGUAGAGGGCAGGUGCGCGAGAGGUACAGAGAUGCCACAGACGUACAUCAAACGUGUGUGUUGACCGCUGAUCGUAUCGGAGUAUAAGUGCCUUUCAUCGUGGUGAAUGCAGAGUUUGCCAUUCUGUGUUAAGGACUUUGAAACAUCCGAAGGACCAGGAGACUAUCCUUGGACUUUUUUUUCCCCCUUGCUACGUGACGGAGCAUAGAAGUAUCCAGGAGUCGCCAUCUUGCUUGGAUUUUGUGUCGGAGACCGAAGCCGUUGCCGGACGCCCUCGUUGCCCUCACGAAUGAUUCCCUAAAGGUUACCAGCGACUAACAUUAACCAGGUUGCUGACUGACUGACUGCUCGAGGUUGUGAGUACUCAAAUUGCACGUGCUUAUUAUUUUAUUGUUUUGUUCUGCUUGCUUUGCAAGCGAAAGGGUCAUAAAGUUUCUGACCACACCGCACCCCAGCGUCGACACAGGCCUGCACCGUUUGUUUUAUUUUAUUUUAAAGGACUGAUAUUGAGUUGCAGCUUGAGUGUGUGAGUGUGUGUGUGAGCUGCAGGACUAUUGUUUUCACAAGUAAUUUGAUUUAUUUACAGGUGUUUUGAAGAGACCCUAAUUGAAGUAAUUAUUUUGUACUCUUAUUGUGUUUAUUUGAAGUUGCAAAUAUUAAUUUUGAUUACUAAAUUCUAUAUUUUUGAGGUUAAGAAUCCUGUGUGUGUUAUUUCUUUCGUGUAAGGAUUUUCCCCUGUUUAUUAAAUUUGAACCAGAGAAACGUGUUUCAACACUGGAUGAUAACAAUUCUUAGUAGGAUUAAAGGCCAAAGGGUUGUAUUCUGCUAAGUGGAGGCACCAAUCACCAAAUUUCUUAUCAAUACAGGUUAGUACGGAAGCCAAUAAAUUAAAGAACCCAGGGCCCCGCCCAUAGUACUACAAUACCCCUGUCUUUAAAUGAUGUUUACCUAUUAGCUACAUGGG